rnacentral:rRNA from 1 species
UGGGGAAUGAUUGCACAAUGGGCGCAAGCCUGAUGCAGCAACGCCGCGUGAGGGAUGACGGCCUUCGGGUUGUAAACCUCUUUUAGCAGGGAAGAAGCGAAAGUGACGGUACCUGCAGAAAAAGCGCCGGCUAACUACGUGCCAGCAGCCGCGGUAAUACGUAGGGCGCAAGCGUUAUCCGGAAUUAUUGGGCGUAAAGAGCUCGUAGGCGGUUUGUCGCGUCUGCUGUGAAAUCCCGAGGCUCAACCUCGGGUCUGCAGUGGGUACGGGCAGACUAGAGUGCGGUAGGGGAGAUUGGAAUUCCUGGUGUAGCGGUGGAAUGCGCAGAUAUCAGGAGGAACACCGAUGGCGAAGGCAGAUCUCUGGGCCGUAACUGACGCUGAGGAGCGAAAGGGGUGGGGAGCAAACAGGCUUAGAUACCCUGGUAGUCCACCCCGUAAACGUUGGGAACUAGUUGUGGGGUCCAUUCCACGGAUUCCGUGGACGCAGCUAACGCAUUAAGUUCCCCGCCUGGGGAGUACGGCCGCAAGGCUAAACUGCAAAUGAAUUGACGGGGUCAUAGCUGUUUCCU